ensembl:rRNA 5S_rRNA 5S ribosomal RNA
GCUUAUGGCCAUACCACCCUGAGAACGCCCGAUCUCGUCUGAUCUCGGAAGCUAAGCAGGGUCGGGCCUGGUUAGUACUUGGAUGGGAGACCGCCUGGGAAUACCAGGUGCUGUAAGCU